GAAGCCGGGGGAUGGCUGGUGGUGGGCUUUCUGCUUUGCCUUUUCCUCCUCAUGCCACCUUAGUGAGGGGCGCGAGCUGUGGCGGCAGCUCCGGGGUGGGGAGACGGGACCCGGAGUGGGAAGAGCUGGGCUUCCGGGCCUAGCCACCAGCUGGCUGAGAGACCUUAGGCAAGUCACUCAGUAAUUUGCGCCUCAGUUUCCUCCUCUGCCUGUCCGUGUUUGUGGGAUUGGAAGCGCUUUGUAGACUAUAAAGCGUCCUUAUACGUCAGAGAUGACUAUUCUUUGUAAAGCUUUUUGAGUUGUAAGAAAACUUAGUAAUCGCCCGAUCCUUGGGUUGUUUUUGUUUUGUUUUGUUUUGUUUUGUUUUUUAAACCUGAGAACCUUGGAUUGGUGUUGGGAGAUCACCACACUCCCUGAAAUUGUAUGCAGAAAUUGGUGAGAAUGAAGAUUUGGGGGGGAGUCUAAUCAAGUUUCUACAGGAGGCUGUGACCCAUUAAGGGUUGAGAACGACAAUUCCUUUAUGCCACAGGAGGAAACUGAGGCCUAAAUGUCAUUUGGGACAUUACACAACCAGUUUGAAGUCCCCGAGUCCCUGGGAUAUGUGAGCUGUUCUAUGCAUAACGGAUAUUUGGGGUAACAAAACUCCCUUGCUUGGCUUCUGUUGAAUCCUUUUCUUUGACCUCAGGGUGCCUGAAGUGAAGGGUGGCUGAUGCCUAAUGGUACAAAGGGCACCUAAUUCAAAGCAGCUCAGACUAGUGGGUGCAUUGCCCGGUGUCAAUGAGCCUAUUUAAUUUUUGACCCAGCGCACCUAUCCUUUUUUGCUGCUUAUUCUGGUGCCAGGCUGUUUCAUUGACCAUUUUCCACAACUGUGGUUGCCAUCCAUGUACUUAACACCUAUUUAACUCUUCUCUCUAGUCUGUGGUUAAUAGGGAAUAGAAUUAUUGUUAAAUGGUGCUGCUAAACCUAGCUAAUUAGCCAUGCAAGUGGAUUUUUAGCAAGCAGCUCGCUGGAACAGUGUAAACCCAGCCUAGAAUUCCUGAGUGUGUUUGGGUUUUUUGUUUAUUUUCCUCUACUAAUUGAAAGAUAACAUGCUUUGAAAUGUUGAGUUGGUAGGCGUGCUGCACCUCCAAAUUAGUAGAUUGGGAAAUGAUUCAACGCUUAAGUUUUCCUGGGCUGGCUUGGAUUUUAAUUGCUAGAAAGUAUGAUACUACGAUGCCCAAAACGCUGGUUUUUUGUUUCCUUGUUAAUUGUUAGCUGCUUCGAUCAAAUUCCAGACCAUUAUCAAACACUAUAGAAAUGUUUGAGCAAUUUAAUUUCAAACAUUUUUCAUAUUGUGGAGUGGUGCUUACCAGUAGUACAGCUCUAAGCAAAUGAACAGAAACAAGCUUAAUGUGUAUUUUGACUGGCUGUUAGCUAGUCUUGGUAUUUCUUACAAAUUUGGGGAAGGGGGGAACAAAUCUGUUGACUAGACUCUUUACCUAAAGGGCAGAGACAAAAUGUUCUCCCUUCCAGAGACAUGACUUUUUUGGAGGGGCAGGGGGGAAUAUGUUGAUCUUUUCGCUCUUUUGUAAUUGAAUCUGGAUGUACCUCAAAAGAAUCUUAAGACUGUGGUGAUAAGAUGCUUUCUUCAGGAAAAAGGAAAAAACAACUGGAACUUGAAAUUCUGUGACAAAAUGUGAGAUGAAGGAUUGAAGGAUCAAAGGGUUUCACAAGCGGGAGCAAAUUUCCUCUGAUGCUGUCACAGAUAUGGAAUCCCGAUUUCCAAGAACUGGACCUGGGACACAGGAGAGUUGAUCAGGAUGAGACAAGAACUCUUCGAGCUAGGCAUUUGUAUCUUUGAAUUUUGGGACUCUUGACUUUGUUGUGGAAAAAAAGGCAAUGAUUGAGCAAGUACUGCCAUGAACACUGUUAUUGGGAAUUAGAAGACCUGAAUUUAUAUCCAGACCCUCAGUGUACACUGACAACACUCCAUCUAAAAUGAACUACGAAAGCAAAGGCCUUGACUGAUGCAUCUUUGCUCACACACACCACCACCCAUGAUGAAGCUUUUAUUAGAAAGGAGAAGUUUAGAGAGCAGGCGAUUUCAGAAUAAGCACUCAUCCUGUGCCACCUGUGAUUGCUGUGCUCACCUGAACCUUCUGACCACCUUCUUGGUACUGGUCCAUCAGUCUCCAGAACUGGUACCUGGGUUUUUGCCCAUGGUGAUUCUCCUACCACCUUACUACUGAAGAAGGCAUGAUUCGAAUGGGACCAUUGUGACCCAAGACGCAUUCAGCUAUCACGUGGCCUUUACUUCCACUCCUGUCCAGCUCUGCCCAGAUUCAACACAACUCUUUAUAUAGUGAUGUCAGAAUCAUCAAGCCAGAUAUACAGCAAAGGCUCCGUUUGUAUCAAGUUUGUAACAAAUAUGUCUUGUUUCUUCAGUAAAAGCCUUCAGAGACAUUUAAAUUUGGACCUGGGUAAUCUUCGUUACCUGCGCUGUCUGAAAAAUGGCCACAUCUCUGAGAAAAUUGGACCAUACCCACACAACCUCUUAAAUGAGUAAGGGUCAGGUCUAGGAUCCCAUCAGGGUCACUCGGCCCUCUUUUUCUACUUCAAACCUGCAGUAGGCUACUGAAUGACAAAGCAGAUAUUCUGACCCAUUGGGAUCAAAACAAAGAUACAGAACUUUUCAUAGCAUCUUCUAUGGGAUUACUCAGGAACCAGAGUUUUCACACAAAUGUAAGAAAUUCUACCAAGGAAUCCCUUUAUGUAACAACAUCUCACAGAGCUCCAAUCAGAUCCAGAAAAGACCUCUUGAUCUAUCAAGGGAACCUCUAGAAGAUUUGUGGGCAUACAGAAGGGAAAUGGGGGAAAAGUAACUCUGCCCCCAAACUGGCCUUUUGUGAACAACUUAUUCUUUGAUCAUUGAUUUUCCAAAGACUUUGUGGCCAUGAAGCCCUUUGAAUGAAAAUUUUGCGGAACCCCGAAGUAGAAGUGAAGCAGCAAUGGAUGAAGCGGGGGUUAGGGUGUCUGAAACCCACCACAAGCACCUUCCUUAUCACCAUGGUGACACUAAGGGGACUUCCUGGCAACACCUAACGCUCUUCAGAACACAGUCCAAACAUCACUGCCCUAGACAACAAUUUAAUGUUGGACUUGUUUGACAUUCUGAUCUUUUCUAUGCCUCCACUCAACACAUUUUUAGUUGAUGCUAAGCAAUUUUUGGAAUACUUAAUGCAAAUUUAGAAAGAUGCAAGAAGAGAGGCAUGCCUUUGCCCCAGAAUAUCCAUGUGCACUGAAAGUGAUGUCAAAUGGACUUGAUUAACAGCUCUCCACUACCAGAUGGACUUCUAGUGAUUCCUGGGGUUGGAUAAGCCAUUGAGUGAUUCAUACAUACUCUACACUGACAAAAACCCCUUAACCAAUUUCUGUCACAAACACCAGAUGUUCUAGUGGUACUUGAUGUACGUGAAUUUGAAGUCUUACCUCUCCUUGGAUCCCUGAAUCUGCAGCAAGCUGUUAUCGUUGAAGCUGAUGCCUCAUUUGAGCCACGAUACUCCUUUGUGUGCAAGGGAUAACCAUUAACUGUGAAAUCAUUUGAGACUAACAUUAUGUAAAAGGGGCUUAGUUCCUGGUUGUCUGUUUCUUAAAUCAGGGACAUUUAUACUGAUCCUUGGUUUUUGUUCAGCUUCAGUACUGUUUCCAUGGAGCAAAAUAACCUUAGGGAAAGAAAAACCAAAACAGGUUUUCCAGGAUUGGCAUAUCUGACUACUCUGCUCCAAAAUUAUGACUACUGAGCUCUACGUGUAAUAACUGACCAACAAGAAGCCAUCUUUGAAUGUUCUCUGCUGUGUGGUUUUAAAAUGUGGCAUUGUGAAAAUUUCUGUUCUAACCAAUGAGGAAUCCUUCUAAGGAUGGUUCUUUUUAUGUCUGGUCCCAUCACCUGUAUGUGUUGGAGAUACUCAAAAGUUGAUCUUUGACAUGAUUUAAUAGCUCCUUGCUCAGCAUGUCAAAUUGGGCAUCAUCUAUCUGUUGGGAGUCGAUUGACUUGGAAAAAAAAACCUCGACAAAGGAUUUUACUAGUUAGACUUGUUUCCUGCUGCAUCUUUGUUGUAAGACCACAGAUCCCUGUCUCCAUGGAUGCCACACAAUCUCGCUUGUCUCAGUACUGUCAUUUUACUCUGCUAGACACCUAACUCCAAGUGACUGUUAUUCCUUGUCAUGAGAUACCCUCAGGCAUCCAGACAGCUUCAGCUGUAAGAAGGAUUCAAUUCACGAACUCCAAGACCAGAUCAUGAUGCACCAAGACUGAUUUGUUAUAAGAAAAUCACAUUCCUAAAAAUGUAAGAUCCAGCUAAGCCUCAUCUGUAAUGGAUACAUUGGCUCACCGUUUGGGAUACUUUCUUUGUAUUGCUAUCUUUUAUGCUGUAGACCAAUUGUUACUACAUGACUAGGCUAUAGAUCAUCCUCCCAAGUUCUCCUGAAGGUCUCACAAACCUGGCCUAGGUGUGGUUGCUGUAGACUGCUUAUCCUGUAAAUCAGAAUAUCUAGUUUGCUUGUGUGCACUAUUGUUUGUAAAGAAUUAUCUGCAAGUUCGAUUUCUCUACUUCAAAAUGCCCUCUUUUUGAUCUCUGCUUUCAAUCCUGUACUUUACAUUAGAAGAUCUGAUCUACACUGCCAGUCAUUCCCAUUGGUCCUGUCAGAAUGAGGGAUUUUAAAGUGAAGAUGAUCAACUGCUCAAGAGUCUUAUCUAAUUGUGCUUUGUAUAUUAUAAGAAUUUGUUGGAAAAACAGAGUCUAGGACAAAGUCAGGAGAUUGCCUACUGUCUCCUUGCCUCAGAUGUCAUCUAAAUGUUUUAAAACAAGAUUCAGCCGGUCCGAGGCCUUGACUUGCUUAUAAUUUUCAAAAGUGGGCUGAGUUACAGAAGAUGAUCACUUUAUUACCAAAGAAAAUUCGGUGAACCUUGACAAGCCUGGCUCUUCCAAUCUUACCACUCCUUUGUGUAGCAUAGAUGUCUAAAUAACCUUAAGUCUGGAUUAUGAUGAAAUGGCCUCCUGAGCUGAAACUUCUUAAUUAGAGGAGCCGGAAAUGAAAGCUGUUGUAGCUGACUUCAAGAUCAGAGUGUUGCAUCCAGAGUAAGCCCAGUGGAUUAUCCUGAGUACACAGGAUGAAAACUAAUUCACAGAGGUUUAUCAACCCUGUUUUCCUAUUUACCUGACUCAACCCUUGUCUGCCUUUUUUGAUAUAUUGCUGCAAUCAGACUGGCUGCCUUUGAUAAGAUACAACCAGCCUCAGCCUAUCUUGUGCCUAAUUCCACCAAGGAUUUUGAGCAGAAGCAAUCUGUACCUCAUUGGACCAGGACUGUUCACAGCAGAAAGGAUUAUGCUGUACGUUCCUUGGCCAGGACUUUUUUUUUUUAAUUAGACAACAGGCCUCUAUGCCGAUUUGUAUUUAAUCAUUUCCAGCAAUUGUUACCAUAUUUGGAAGGAGUACAGCAGAGUCAAAGCACUGUCCAUUCUUUGAUAAUAAAGGGACGAGUCCAGUUCACAGUAUUCUCAGAAAGUCUCCAAUUCAAUUUAGCAAGACCUAAAGAAGGAUGCAGGGAAGGUUUCCUACUGACUCAUCUAUCCUCACAGAAGUAUUUGCCAGUGGGGGACUAGUUCAGCUUUUCAUCAACAAGGUGGGCUAUCGGAAUUCUGACUACAGCAUUUUCCUUACGUUUUAGCUCUGUUGUGAUCUGAAGUAUGUUGUUGGACAUUAUUAUCUCAAGUGGAUAACAAACUUGUGAGGACAGAAACAUUAGCCCUGAUAGUAUUUGCAGCAUAUUUUGAUCAAGGAAGAAGCAAUGCCAGCUGUUCCCAUUCAACUUCAUAAAGUUUUCCAGUAUGUGGCCCUAUUUUGGACAUGGGGUGGGUGGUUUUGUUUUUGUUAGCAACAACAACUACUUGAUGUUUCUUGGAACCAUCUCUUUAUUCUCUCCUCAGUCUAGGUGGUUCAGAUGGGUUGACCCAACCUAGGUCUUCAUAUGUGGACAUAAUUCAGAUCUGAUCAACCAGCACAGCCCAUUUCCUUGACCAUAGUGUUCACCAGCCCAGUUCAAGAAUGACCUUAUGAUUCUUGUUGGUCCAGUGGUACUCAACCUGAGUUUGACUGAUCUGUGCGAGAAAAACAGCUGCUUGCUGAGGUGGCUAAGCUUUGCAGGAUGAACAGCUGGAACCAGUAGGCCCACCACAUGGAAGAAGCCAGUGCAGAGGAAAACAGCCAAAAGAUGGAGAGACUUGAGUCCUGAUGACAUUUGUUUAUGCCCCUGGAUCCAACCGUGCCUGAAGCUAGUAUAGCCCCUGGACUUUUCAGUUAUGUGAACCAAUAAAUUCUCUUUUUUGCUUAAGUGA